rnacentral:rRNA from 1 species
AUUGAACGCUGGCGGCAGGCCUAACACAUGCAAGUCGAGCGGAUGAAGGGAGCUUGCUCCUGGCUUCAGCGGCGGACGGGUGAGUAAUGCCUAGGAAUCUGCCUGUUCGCGUGGGAUAACGUCUGGAAACGGGCGCUUAUACCGCAUACGUCCUGAUUGAGAAAGUGGGGGAUCUUCGGACCUCACGCUAUCAGAUGAGCCUAGGUCGGAUUAGCUAGUUGGUGGGGUAAUGGCCUACCAAGGCGACGAUCCGUAACUUGUCUGCGAGGAUGAUCAGUCACACAGGGACUGAGAGACGGUCCAGACUCCUACGGAAGGCAGCGGUGGGGAAUGUUGGACAAUGGGGGAAAGCCUGAUCCAGGCAUGCCGGGUGUGUGAAGAAGGUCUUCGGAGUGUAAAGCAGUUUAAGUUGGGAGGAAGGGCAGUAAGAUAAAAGAUGGGUGUUUUGACGUUACCAAGAGAAUAAGCACCGGCUAACUUCGUG